CAGAGCGCGGUGUCCGCGGGGCCGCCGCCGGCGCCGCGCAGGGUCGGAGGCAACCGCCUGCCCCGACCCUCCUCCGCCCGCUUCGGCCUUAUAUUUAAUACAUGCCCUUUCAUCUAUUAUUCAGGCUGCUCUGACUCCAGCUCUGUCUCGCCUCCCAUUUACGCCUGCACACCUUUCUCCUUCCCCUUCCCGAAGGGUCAGCCGAGACACUCGCCGAGGGAGGGAGAGAGCUGCUCUGCUGGUUUGGGUCUUGUCUGCUUAAACAUUGAACUGGAAAAGAUUCCUCCUCUCUGUGGUUUGAUAAAUAAUAAAAGUGAUCGUUUCGCCUUCCCCAUAAAUGACACAGGUAAUCAUACAUUAUUAACCUCAUGGAAGGGGCAGGUCUUCAAGCCGUGGUAUUUGCACACCGAAUUGAGGCCCAGAGUACCAAAGAGGCGAGGACUGUCACAACUGCUUCUAAUAAUGAGAAAAAAAGAAUGGAAAGGGCUGACUUUCUGAGAAGGAGUUGGAAUCGCCCAGUGUAGCAUUAGCACCACCUCUGAAAUGUGAGAAAUUGCUCUGAAAUACGUCCAGUGUUCUCUUGAGUAGCCAUUUUUAUCCUCCAGUAGAUGUUUAUUCCCUCACUCUUAUAUUUGAGAAAACUGCAGUGUUAGAUGUUGCACUCUCCUCCAAUGCAGCUCUGUGCCAUUAUUUAUAUUGUUUCUUAAUAGUCGCCUUUCUUUACGCUGAUGUAUUAACCUUUUGUCUAUAUAUAAGAACACUGGACUCGUAAUCACAUCCCAACCUAUUGAAAUGACUUGCGUAUUGUAGCAUAUUGACUAUUCAUCCACAUCAUCGCUUGUUAUCUUUGGCUCCGUAUUAUUAUGUAUCAAAUUCUUUUCCAUACCAUUUUUGACUCAAAUUCUAGCAUGCUAGAAACUGACUCCAAUUAUUCUGUACUAGCUAUAGUCAAAUUGCACUAAAUGGAAUUGCUUGCAUUGUAUCAUAGUGGCUAUGGGCUCACACAAUGCAUUAUACAUGAAACUGAUUCACAUUAUGCUUUGCUAACUAAAGACUUUAAUCUUGAAGUGUUGAGCAUAUAAUGCUAUCAUUCUUCACUGAACUGGCUCUGGUCACUUGAUCAUUUUGUACCUGGGAUUGCCUCUUACAGGCUGUUAUUAUUAAAGCAAAAUGGCUUUUCCUCUUCGGCAGUUCUACUACUUUCUGUGGAGAGCUGAUUCAUAUGCUAAUGAAUGAGCUUUCUUGUUUCAUGCCAUA
rnacentral:lncRNA from 1 species